rnacentral:lncRNA from 1 species
GCCAAGUAACGAACAACAAAUAUCACAUGUUGAUCUAGAGAUAUAUAACUUACAAAAGUAAACUCAUAGGUCUUUAUAGAGAAGAAACCAAAAGGGGAUAAAACAUAUAUGCAGUCACCAGAUAAACUAAAAUCUAUAUGGAAAAAUGAAAGUAGCUUCAUGAGAAGUAUCAAAAUAUUAAGUGACUACUAAAAUGCACAAAAUUAUAAAGAGGCAAAGUAACCAACAAAAAAAUCUUGAAGUUUCAAAGAUAUAUACAAUCUACAAAAGUAAACUCAUCAGUCUUUGGGGAGAAAAAAACCAAAAAGGACUAACACACAUCUAUGCGGUCACAAGACGAACUAAAAGCUAUAUGGAAAAAAGAAAUGGUGUCGCGGUGCUAACAUAAAUUAUUGCGAGCAUCAGGUUUGGAGUAUCGUGGUGCUUUAAGGCAGCGUUAUGGGAUUUUCGCAAAUAUGGGCCAUUUUGUCUUACAUCGUUGUAACGCUGCAAGGCAGAAGCUAAUUGGCCCUAUUUCUCCAUGGUUUGACCCGAUUAAUGCUAUAUGAAUUCAUUUUUGCUCAGUUAGGCUCUAAUUUGACAUCAACAUCAAGUUCCACUCUUGUUUAGCUCAUAAUCUACAAAAUAGUGAAAUAGAAACAAAACAUAGUCUUAGAAUGAUUAUGAGUUAAGCGUGAUUAGAUAGCAUAAUUUAAUCCUUAAACUUGUGUAACAAUUUAUUAGAACAAAUUAUAAUGUACAGGGACUAGAUUGUUACCCAGGUUCAAAGACUAAAUUAAAAUUAAAAAAGCUAAAUUGUUAAAAAAAACAGUUAAAAUGCAAAAUUGUAACUUUUGUAAAAGUUUGGGAUUGAAAAUGAUUCUAAUCUAUAACCAUCCAAUUAAUACUCAUAACAAUAAACAUAGAUAGUUGCAAAAGACACGCAGAAAGUGAGUAAUCAAUAGUGAACACAUUAAAAUCUAAAACAAUGGAUGGAAAAAUAAUUACUAAAACCAAAAUUAGAUUCGGUCCGAGACUUUUUAAGACAACCUCACACACAUGAUAUUAGAAAAAAUCUAUAAAGAGAGAAUAUAGUAAAGAAGAAAGUGGGAAAGGAAAUGAAACAAUUACUUGAUGAGAUGUGUAUCCCAUAUUAGAAGCAAGAAAAGUUUGAUGUCUUUGAUGGGAUGAACAUAGAGUUUUCA